GGGGGGGAGGGGCGGCGAGGCGAGGCCUGCGGAGCGGAGGAAGACAAACAUAAAGAUGAAGUGCUUAAUUCAAGGUCACACAAUGUCGGGGAUGGACCUCCAGAUUUCCUUACUGACCUGCAUUAUCUUGUGGAUACCUGAGUGAAUUCCACACCACCCAUUUUAUAGAUGAAACCACUGAGACAUGGAGCAAUUGACUGAGUAGUCACUGCCCCACCCCUGCCUGGAGCCUCACACAUGACUCGCCUCCUCUCAGUGACCACAGGUUGGUUGAGGGGUUUAACAAGGCUAAGAAGGUGAGACGUGGUCUUGUAACACAGUGGUUAAGAAUGUGACUUUGGAGCCAGCCUGCUAGGGGCUGAAUUCUGACUCAGCCAUUUACUAACUGUGUGACCUUAGGUCACAGAAUUUUCCACACUCCUUGACAGAGGUGCUUAACCCUUAUCCAUCAGCAUUCUCAGACAGCACCUCCGGUUAGGGACAGUAUCUGACCGUCCGACAUCCCUGCAGCCCCCAUGUGUCACACAGACUCAGCCUCAGGUAGAUGGUUUCCGUAGAUGGUGGCUUUCUUUGGACCCUUGACAUCAACCAGUUACUAUUUGGUCUAGGGGUCUCACCAACGCUGCUCAUCUAGCAGGGCCACACAUAACAAAUAGAAGCAGAGCAAGCCCUGGAACUCCUGCCUGACAGUGACACGACGACAGAAACAUCUUACCAGUCAGAGGACCAUGAGAAAUAGAUUCAAGGAGCAUUCCACGUGCAAGUGAGUCUUGGCCCCAUCUGCCUUUGGAUUUUAGCCGUGAACUGGAAGGUAUUGGAAAGAAGACCCUCAGAAAUAGCUUAAUCAAAAUCCCUGCGUCUGAACCAAGUGCCUUAUUUCUCUGUGGGCCUCAAGCUUCGCUGACAUCUGUGGAGCACACUGUCCUAACAGGAGUGCUGUCUGAUUUCCCAACGCUCUGCAAAACAAACAGCCUGGAAGGGUGGCUGGUGGAAGGUGGUUUUUAGAGAGAGACUUGUAGAUAACAGGAAAGUGAAGGCUGUAAGGAAGGUUGUAAUUAAACAGCACAUGGAAACACAAUCACAUUAUUGUCCCAUUCCAUAGGGAUAAUGAUGACCACUUCAGUGGGAAAAGGAGAGGUUUUAAGUCAUUAGGGACUAUGGGCCACCUUUUAGGAAGAUUUAUUUUCAAAGGUUAAAAUAGUGUUUUGGCAAUUCAAGUUUCAUUUUCAGAAAAUGUAAUUGAUGGGAA
rnacentral:lncRNA from 1 species